UACGAAGGAUUCGAGCGUUAUCCGGAUUUAUUGGGUUUAAAGGGUGCGUAGGUGGACUAAUAAGUCAGUGGUGAAAGCCCGCAGCUUAACUGCGGAACUGCCAUUGAUACUGUUAGUCUUGAGUACAGUUGAGGUGGGCGGAAUGUGUCAUGUAGCGGUGAAAUGCUUAGAUAUGACAUAGAACACCGAUAGCGAAGGCAGCUUACUACAGGAUGAUUGACGCUGAGGCACGAAAGCGUGGGGAGCAAACAGG
rnacentral:rRNA from 1 species